GUCACACAGGUCUGGCCCACAAGGCCCUCCUUCUUGACCCAGGGAUGGUCACUGGGCAUAAAGUGGACAUGCCGUUCAGAAGAACUUUGUGAUCCAAUGGGUUCAGCUACCAGCCCAGUCCCCUUGGAGAGCUCGACUCACAAACACCAGGCCCGUGUCUCUGUCUCCUGACCCCUCUUCUCUCAGCAGCGGCUCUUGGGACUCACCUCCACCUGUCAUUUGCAGCCGCUGCUCCCUGGCGCUCCCUGC